UACGUAGGGUGCGAGCGUUGUCCGGAAUUAUUGGGCGUAAAGAGCUCGUAGGCGGCUUGUCGCGUCGGAUGUGAAAGCCCGGGGCUUAACCCCGGGUCUGCAUUCGAUACGGGCAGGCUAGAGUUCGGUAGGGGAGAUCGGAAUUCCUGGUGUAGCGGUGAAAUGCGCAGAUAUCGGGAGGAACACCGGUGGCGAAGGCGGUUCUCUGGGCCUUACCUGACGCUGAGGAGCGAAAGCGUGGGGAGCGAACAGG
rnacentral:rRNA from 1 species